UGUGUCAUUACGCCAAUCAUGGAAGCAGCCCAGCCAGUAGUUCCCCACCAUCUGUGUGCAGCCGACUACUCUGGCUAAGAGGCAGGAUGAAGAGUCUCCCCGCUUAGCUGUUGAGCGGUUGGCUGUUUGGGGAGGUGAAGAAGUGCCUGUCAAGCUGCUUCUUGGUGUAAUGAUGUCGACAAUAGCUAUGCAUACUGUACAGCGACCGAAUCCUCAGCACCUCACAGUUCCUGCAUUCUUCACAGAAAUCUGGGACAGUUGAAAUGGAUAUGAAACUGAAACACUAAACAAGCAAGGGAAGAAAACAGCAAUACUGUACUCCUAUGCACAAACAUUCGAAGGUCGGCUGGUUUUCAGUCAGAGCACUGAAUAAACUUGUCCCUCUUCACA